rnacentral:tRNA from 1 species
CGGGGUGUGGCGCAGUUGGCUAGCGCACCAGCAUGGGGUGCUGGGGGCCGGUGGUUCGAGUCCACUCACCCCGA